GAUGAACGCUGGCGGCGUGCUUAACACAUGCAAGUCGAACGAAGCACCUUGAUUUCUUCGGAUUGAUUGGUGACUGAGUGGCGGACGGGUGAGUAACGCGUGGGUAACCUGCCUCACACAGGCGGAUAACAGUUAGAAAUGACUGCUAAUACCGCAUACGACCACAGUACCGCAUGGUACAGUGAUAAAAACUCCGGGGGUGUGAGAUGGACCCGCGUCUGAUUAGCUAGUUGGUGAGGUAACGGCCCACCAAGGCGACGAUCAGUAGCCGACCUGAGAGGGUGACCGGCCACAUUGGGACUGAGACACGGCCCAAACUCCUACGGGAGGCAGCAGUGGGGAAUAUUGCACAAUGGGCGAAAGCCUGAUGCAGCGACGCCGCGUGAAGGAUGAAGUAUUUCGGUAUGUAAACUUCUAUCAGCAGGGAAGAAAAUGACGGUACCUGACUAAGAAGCCCCGGCUAACUACGUGCCAGCCGCCGCGGUAACAC
rnacentral:rRNA from 1 species